UACGUAGGUGGCUAGCGUUGUCCGGAUUUACUGGGCGUAAAGAGCGCGCAGGCGGUCGUUCAAGUCGAGUGUGAAAGCCCCCGGCUCAACUGGGGAGGGUCACUCGAUACUGAUCGACUCGAAGGCAGGAGAGGGAAGCGGAAUUCCUGGUGUAGUGGUGAAAUGCGUAGAUAUCGGGAGGAACACCAGUGGCGAAGGCGGCUUUCUGGCCUGUUCUUGACGCUGAGGCGCGAAAGCUAGGGUAGCAAACGGG
rnacentral:rRNA from 1 species